AAAAGAACUGGUGCUUCUGGACAAAUUAUAAAGAGAAGCAUUUCCUUUGGAGAACUUUUCUCCCAUCAUCACUUUCUACUGUAUAUGUGUGAAUGAAUACCUACGUAAUGAAUAUUUCCUUAUUUUCAAAAAUAUUUUAAGGUAAUGAAGGUAUUAAAAUUCCUUCAAUGAAACAUAUUGCAUGACAUGGGAGUAACUUAUGACCAGUAUCAAAUGAAAAUAAAAGCAAGAUGCAUGACUAAAGAGGCAAUAUACUCCGUUUUUCCAAAGUCUUCUGAAGUGAACAGGUACGUUACUUUGUAGGUGUACUUCUGCCAAGUACAGCCUGCACACAGGAAAGUGGCCGACUAUAAGCAUACCGUGUGAAGAACUCUCCUAGAGGGAACACACCUGCGUAACCUGCCCCCAGGUCACGAAUGGCCCCAGAUCACCAAUAGAACAUUGCCAACAUCUUGGGCUCCUGCCUCCUCCAAACGGGCACCAUCUGGACUUCCAACACCACCACCACGGAAUCUGGCCCACCUGGGACAGUAUGUGGCUGGAAUCACACAGCAUGUGUGCUCCUGGGUCCAAAUUCUGUUGCUCAAUACUGUUUGUGAGGUUCCAUGUUUGCGUAGCUGUAGUUUAUUCAUUCUUAAUCCACUGCUGUACUAAGCCACUGUGCAAGUCUAUCAUAAGUUAUCCAUUCUAUCUCUGUGGCGUUUGAGGUUGUUUCAGUUGGGCUUAUGACAUCGUUUAUACUUUUAUACUUAACAGUGGCUCUAAAAACCAGAAAUACCAACCAAAACUGGCUUUCAAAACCGGCAAAUAAUUUACUGUGCUAAAUACUCCUCAAGUUUUCUUUCUUAUGCUUUGUUUCCGGUUCUAUCAGGAAUCUGCAGAUUUGGGGGUGUCUAACCAUGUCAUAGGUUACACUCAAUCUGUUUUUCUUUAAACAGAAGUGCUUUGGUUUAUCCGGUUCAGAGAUUUUUAUUCCCUCUUAAUGGUCCUUGACAUUUCACAACAGAGGCACCAGCUCACUCUUCCUUUUCAACUUCAGAGACAUUUAAAAAGCUUGUCACAAAACAUUCCAGAAAAAUUUUCCUGAGGUCACGAAUUGGGCAAUUCCUGCUCUCUGUAAUGAAGAAACCGGAUCUUCUGGACACAGGGAUGGAACGCCAGUCUCCCGCAUUGGAGGCAGACUGUUCACCUUCUGAGCCACCAGGGAUGGCCCAUGAAAAGCCUCAGAGCCACAAAACUCUUUGUGCUUAGUCUUUAAGGUAAACCUGGGCAGACUCCGAGAAGCAAGCUAGUGUCUCAGAAUAUUUUUUUGUCUUAACAUGAGUGAGUAUAAUUACCUCCAUUCCUACCAUCACUUCCCACUGUGUCUCCGAGUGGCUUUCCUGCAGGAUUCCACUUCAAGAAAUAAGUGAAUGGAUGAAAAAUGGAGAGUGAAAGUAUGGAUGUUAAUGAGAUAGCAUGGGGUGAGUCAAGUGAUAAAGUGCAAAGAAAUGUAGAGUAAGGUCGGCCUAUGCAUCCUUUAUUGGAGACAAUCUUCACAGAGGAUCUUAAGCAAAUUAUUUAAAUGUUAUUUACAUAAAAUAUUAAAAUAUUUAGGCAUGUUAAAAAGUAUUUCUCAAAGACAUCUCUUUAAAGAUAAAAACUCAUUCUCUUUGAUCUUUAUUCCCAAAUCGUGUAGUCUUAUCACACUGUUCUACAACUGUUUGUUAACAUGCCUGGGUCUUCCUCCAGACUGCACUCCUAUGAAUGUGGAUAGUACAAUAUUAAAUUUCAUAUAGUGGAGAAUCUAGCACCUCAGUGAUUAAUAAGUGUUUAAUGAAUGAGACAAUGAAUUAAUUAAAUGAGGAAAUAAUUUUUUGAAACAGAAAAGUUUGUGGGGAGAGAAAAAAACAUUGCAUAUGUGAGGUUUUCUUCCUCUGAUUUCAACUGCAGACCGUCCCCCACUCUGCAGUCCUGGAGGGUGCAUACAGCAUUCUCACGAGAUCCUGGAAGCAGAAAAGUUUUAACAGGUGUUUCGCUGCACUUGUCUGCACAGGUCUAGUUCUGUCUCUGACAGGAGCUACCAACUGCCACUAAUUUGCAUUUGCAGAUCCCCUCCCAAACUGUGCACUAUAUUUCAACUGACCUUUGCAAGCUGAGUAGAACUGUGGCUGCAGCAGACAGAAAACUGAACGACUCUCUUAGCUACACUCUGGGAAGGGUCAGAAUUCCCUUUUGUUGAUGACUGCAUCUCUUCCUAAACCCCAAGUGUACUCCUUGACUUCACCUCCUCAUCUCUGUUUGGAAUACUCCCCCUGAAGAUUUCCUCUGCUCAGCAUCACGACACCUUACUCUGAAAGGUGUGCCGGACAUGAUUCUCCCCUUUCAGUAAACCUCACACAAACUCCAAGCAGCUCUGGGAACUAGCCCUCAGAAGAAAAACAAACAUUAAAUCCCCGUCAUCAAUCAGGACAGGCUAAGUUAUGCUGUGUAACGAUUUCCAAACUUUAGUGUUUAAACAGCGAUGGUUUACUCCUCACUCCUCACAGCGACGGUGUGCCGGAGUCAUUCUCCUGGGCCCUGACUCCAUGUCAGCAGCUCAGUCACCCAGGCUGCUCAGAGCCUCCUGCCAGCGGCAGAAAUGGAGAGAGUGGACAGUCUCAAAUUGGCCAUUAAACACUUUCAACUGGCCCAGAACUGUCUUUUGGUCUUGCUCAACUGCAAGGAGUGGGGCAGUAUAAUGCUUCCAUGGACCAGAAGGGACAGGGAACAAGAACAGAGAAAUACUCAGCAGCACACCUUGCUUGGGCAAUGGAGAGGGGGUGUGUGGAUACUGAUGUCUGAGAAGCAAGAAGUGGUAAUGGUGUUUGUCACCCUAAGUGCUUUUUUCCUUACCUGCUGUCUGAUCACUUACUUUAUUCCUUCUUCUCAAGGGCCAGCUUUCAUCUACCGAGUCUUGAAAAUGCCAGUGCCUGGAGAAGUGUGUUUAUGUGCAUACACACACACGACUGUAAGCAUAUGCACUGAAAAUAUUUAAGUAUCUGAUUCCUUUUCAAUUUCCAACAGUGGCCAUUAUAACAGGCAGCUUUAGGAUUCUUUUUUAAUCUGUUUUAAUUGUAUAUGUGGAGUUUCAUUCCACACAGGAUUUCAGGACCCUGGGAGCAUAGCCUUUCCAUUAAAGCCAUUAAUUCUACAUGAGAGCUCUCAACCACUACAGAUGAUUUUCAGAAAAUAAAUAUACUUAAUGGAGACAUAACUAAAAAGAACUGGAGGAACCAAAGGAUUAUUAUCCUUUGGGAUAAUAAUCACUCCCUGGGAGUGAUCUGACUCUGCUACUGCUGCUGCUAAGAUGCUUCAGUCGUGUCCAACUCUGUGCGACCCCAUAGACGGCAGCCCACCAGGCUCCUCUGUCCACAGGAUUCUCUAGGCAAGAAUACAGGAGUGGGUUGCCAUUUCCUUCUCCAGAUCUGACUCUAGACACUGCCUGAUGCUCAGUGAUUCCUAAACAUGUGUCACCUGUUUUUAGAUAGAAAUUCCUCGUCUGAAACUGCUACAUUUCAAAGACAAAGGAAAUCUACUUUAAGAAGGAGAAAACUGAUGGCAGAACCACUUGGAAGAAUAUCUAUAUACUCCACGGAGGCUUUUGUUGUUUUGUCAGAGUUCUCAAUGAGCUACUAAUUGCAUUUUGUAGAAAGGUCUGUUAAAAUGCCCAUACGGUAUACAACAGUGUAGUUAUUCUCCUUGUUGAAUCAAAAUAUCACGGCCAAAUAAACAGUUUUUAAAAAAUUUUUGUCUACAAUGGUUCAUAAAAUGCAUUAAGCUCUGCCAAUAAAAUUAGUGUAGAAACAUCUGUUUCUUGCAAUAAAAUAUUCUAUAUAACAAACAUCUUUAAAUGAAAUGUUGAAAUGAGUUUUGAAUAGUUCAAAGAUAUCAAUAAGCACCUUUGUAAAAACUGAAUAGUUGACACCUGCAUUUUAGGAUUUCUUUUAAGAAUUUGAGUGUGUCAGAACCAAAUUGAUAGACUUGUUCUAUAACUAUAAAUUACAAAGUAAUUUAUUAAAUUAUAUGGUUAAAGACAAUCAUGUCUUGCUUAUAACUAUUGCUUUUGUUCUGCUCGUAUCUAUCCCUUUUAUUUCAAAGUACCUGUCAGAAUAUCACAAGGGAACUGAAAAGAGGUCUUUAAACACCUAAAUAUUUGUCUCUAAGGAAAGCAGGAAAACACACUCUGAGCUUUAAAUGAAUGUGUCACAAACCAUCCUGGCCCGAGUGCUCGCCUGUGUCGGUAACCUGUUGAUUUGUACAGGGCAUCUCAGCUAAUCCUGCCGGAACUCCGCGAACCGAGACUCAGACACAGUCAGUAACCUGGCAAGGGACACGCACCUCAGAAGCAGGCGUGCCCCUUGUGUAUGCUUUCUCCUUACGCUCUGCUGUUCACGCGCUGGGGUGUCUGUGUGUGUGUGUGUGUGUGUGUGUGUGCCCCCGCCGGCGCCAUGGACGGAAUGACUGGGGUGAAGAAGCCAGACCUGCUCCCGCUCUGCUGCGUCUCAGACUGUGGACAGUGACGACGUCCCUGUCUCUGCUCCCGUUUCCUGCACCCCUACCGGAUCGUGGUGCUGCUCCGGGGAGCGGCGGCGCGCUGGCCCUGCAGGCUCGCGUGCAGGCCUGCUCGGGUCGGGGCGCAGACACAGGCAGGCGUGGACCUGGCCGCGCCCGGAGGGACCGCCUCUGCCCCUCAGGCCGGCGUCAGGGAGGAACCGACUGCGGAGGCUUUCUGUCCAAGACCCGCCUCUACGGAAACAAAGUCAUCCAGCCGUUCCUCCCGCUGGAAUCACUUGAAGAGCAAUUUCUGAACAACUUCUCUUAACGUCUAUAACUGAGACAUGCGGACUCUGCAAACUGCUCUGAUGGCGGCAUAUUUGAAAUGGACCCUGAUCUACAAAUAAACACUUGUAGCUGUUAAAAACCAAGCCUGAAGACACAGAACUUUUCGUUUUUGUCUUUCUCUGGACAUUGCAAAAUGACACAUUUUUAUCUUUGUGGAAUUCUUAGUUGAGCAGUAAGAUGUUUUUGUUUUUAUAAAAUUAAGCAUUUUAAUUACUUAAAAAUAUUAUACUAGCAUCCUGAGGGUACUUUGAAAAUUCAGAAUUCUAAUGUGUUUAGAAGGCGAAAUUUUAUAAAACAGAGAUAAUGGAACUAGAUAUGAACUAACUCUCUUAAAUUCUGAACAUGGGAACAAAUCCCCGAAUCCUCAGAAGCACAGACAACAGUGUGAGGGGCCAUGGAGCCAGCCCUGCCACCUGGGUCCACGGCCUUGAGUACGAAGGCUGCUGGUUUACCGGCUCCUGCAGGUGCUAGCUGACCAUGCUCCUGAAGGCCACCGGCUGACCACACUCCUGUAACAGGUUCUCCUUGUCAAUCGUCAGCUCCUCUUGCAAAUUACAAGAGGCAUCCCCCACUGGAAAGGUCCCACAGCAAUGAAUUCCUGGAAAGAUCAACCUAGGGAUCCAAAUAGUACUGAAAAGCAUCCUUAUUAUAUAGCACAAAGUUUAAUUCAGUGUUCAAACUAUGGCUCUCAGCCAUCCAAAAAAGGUUAACAAGCACGUUUAACUCACUUUGUACGGUAAGAAAAAGGAAAGAGUGCUGUAAACUAGAAAGAUUUCUGUUAAAAAGAUAUUGUUAAAAAAGGACAAUCUGAGUGUUUCCUCCUCCCUCCCACCUUCUUCCUUUCUGGACAAAGAUGAAUCGCAUUUCUACCAUGCCAGACCUGGCCUGGAUGCUGUGGAGACAAAGAGGAGUCAACUGUGGUCUUUGUCCUCCCAGAGUCCGCUAUGGAGUCGUUCAAAGACACACACAGGCAAAGAACUCAGGCACCACUGAGGAUCUGACUGGUUGUGCUCUAGGUACUACUGAGGAGCACAGAAGCAAGAAUAAUGAAAUCGUCCUGAGGAAGUGGGGAGACCUCUCACGGCCAUCACAGCGGGCGUUCCAGUUAAUACUUCAACUCCAGUGAGCUCAGAUGAAGGAGGUGUGACUAUAUCUGGGAAGAUCACUAGCUUGGGAUUUACCAUGGUCAUUCCUACGGCAUUCUAGCCUGUUCUUCACCGGAGAAAAAAAUAAAAGCUAUUUCAGGCUGAAGAUGGACCGAUUUAUAAAUUUUGUAGGAAGUAAUACAAACUCUUCAGAAGAAAUUCCUUUUUAUAAGUUGAAGAUAUUGCUGGAUAUUCUUUAUAUAACUACGACCAUAAAAUCACCUAUUUUACAUAAAAUCACUUUACAUAAAAUCACCCAUUUGAGUGUGAAGCAAAGGUAAUACAGAGAACCAUCUGUAUCACUUUAUGUAAUCUAAAAUUUUUAAUAGUUCUUAUACAAACUUUUAUUUCAUAUAGAGUAGGUACUUAUUUUCUGAUAAUUCCAUGAAAAGGCUCCUUAAAGUGAAAUCACUGAAAACUAGGAUAAAACAGAGUAAGUUGUGAAAAAGUAUAAACUAAAAAAGAAUAGAAAAAUAAGUUGAUUUUAACUCAGUUAAGAAAACCUCUACCAAACUGAAACAGUGCUCAGCAGAAGAGUGAAAACUGAUUGUUUUAUUGUCAUGAUUUUUUAUAUGUCUGAUAACACAUUAUUAGGGUUUUUACUGCAUAUUUGGUUUUUACAGUUUGAUAAACACACGAUUUUUUACAGGAAAUAUUAAAAUGCUUCACCGUUUUUUUAAGGGCUUCUCUCAACCCUCUGACAGUCAGGUCGCUCUGCAGAACUAUUCUGUUGUCGUCCUUAUUGGCUUUCCUGCUUCCUGGUGGCUUGGAACAUGAUCUCAGCAGUUCUUCAUUGCUUUAAUUCAUUUCACGAAAUCUUCUGAAAAACUUCCAGUUUCACUUUAUAGUCAAAUUAAACUUGCCGUGUAUUUGUUGAAAAACUAAAGUCUUUGAUAGGAUGAUUGUCUAUACAGACAGGCAUUGGUAUUAAACAGAAAUAAUGUUUGUGUUAGGACUAAUUUUGUUAAGUGGUCACUUCAUUUUGUGAUGGCUUGUUCACCUAAGCAGUUUUUUCUUUUUUUGAACUGUGGUGUUUCUUGAGAGUCCCAUGGACUGCAAGGAGACCAAAUCAGUCAAUCUUAAAGGAAAUCAGUCUUGAAUAUUCACUGGAAGGACUGAUGCUGAAGCUGAAGCUGAAACUCCGAUACUUUGGCCACCUGAUGCGAAGAAUUGACUCACUGGAAAAGACCCUGAUGCUGGGAAGGAUUGAAGGCAGGAGGAGAAGGGGACGACAGAGGAUGAGAUGGUUGGAUGGCAUCACCGACUCAAUGAACAUGAGUCUGAGUAAGCUCCAGGAGCUGGUGAUGGACAGGGUUGUUGCAGUUCAUGGGGUCGCAAAGAGUUGGACACGACUGAGCGACUGAACUGAACUGAAUUUUGUUUAGCGCCACAACAGGUGUCAUAAAAAACCACUACUAAACCUAAGCCAAAACGGGAAAGAAAAAACUAUUAACAUCUUCACUGGACACACUUGAAAGUGAAAGUGAAGUUGCUCAGUCGUGUCUGACUCUGUGACCCCACGGACUGCAGCCCGCCAGGCUCCUCCGUCCAUGGGAUUCUCCAGGCAAGAAUACUGGAGUGGGUUGCCAUGUCCUCCUCCUGAGGAUCUUCCCCACCCGGGAACUGAACACAGGUCUCCCGCAUUGCAGGUGGCCUCUUUAUCGUCUCAGCCACCAGAGAAUCCCUGGACACACAGACUUGAGCAAAUCUCCCACUACGGGCCAUCAGAUCUAUAAAUGUGAUGGGAUCGACAAGAGAGCCACUGAGAAGAGACAGGCUGCUGGGGAUGGCAAAGGGCUCCUUCAAGUCCAUCUCGGCUUCAGACACACCGAGAGCUGAAUACAAUCAUCACUGGUAUCUCCCUGUGACAAUUCAAGGCCAGCAAGGACUAUGUGCCCGUCACUGGUGCCUCCAGACACAGAGACUCUCAAACACAGGACGGCAGGCACAUCGCAGGCUGACUGAGCUGUUCUUAUUGCUGGUGCUGGUACUGCAGAAUGCAAAGCAGGAGAACGGGCAGACUCCAUGAGCAUGCCCUUCACACUCACACACUGGGUAUGAAACACUCAUUGUUAGUGUCACCAAAAUGGAUUCCAGCAGCCACCCUGCAGCCAGAAGAAAAACAAGGAAAUCAAAAGGAAGUUAGCACCCACAUUAAGAAAAUUGGCUUCAACUUGGAUACAGCAUGUGUGUCAACUUCUGGUUGGAAUGGUGACAACAAGCUGGAGUCAAGGAUGAGCUGUGGUUCCGGAGAUGGAAACUCACCAGUGAAGACAGGAACGCUGGAGGGGCCACACUGCUUGGAGUUCUGGCCUGCAUCCCACCACCAACACAUCCCACUGACAAGCACUUGCGCCUGCCCCUCUGGAACGACCACAAAACUAGUGGCCAGGCUGGUACUGUCCCCAUGGAGAUCUGUGCUUUCAAAUCCAGCAUGGUGUUGCCAUCAACCUUGUAAGUGAAAUAAAGUCUGUUAAAAUGCACUGUGAAGCUUGGAGUGAAGCUCUUCUCUGCGGACAAUGUGGGCUUCAAUGCCAAGAACUUGGCUGUCGAAGAUGUUCAUCACAGCAAAGGCAACAUGGCUGUUAACAGCAGAGGGAGCCACCAAAGGAAGCAGCUGGCUUCACAGCUCAGGGAAUUAUCCUUGGCCACCCAGGGACGAGCAGCCAUGGCCAGGCAUCUGUGCUGGGCCGUCACACAGCUCACGCUGCUUCUAAGUUUGCUGAGCUCAGAGAGAAGCUUGACUGCCAUUCGGGGAAGAAGCUGGAAAUCUGGUGAUGCUGCUCUGGUUGAGACGGUUCCCGGCAAGCCUGUGUGUGCUGACAGCUUCUCUAAACAUCUUCCUCUGGGCCAUUCUGCUGUUGGUGACAUGUGACAAACAGCUGCUGCGGGUGUCAUCACGGCAGUGGACAAGAAGGUAGCGGGAGCUGUCAAGGUCACCAAGUCUGCCCCCAAAGCUUGGAAGGCCAAGUGAAUAUCAACCCUAAUGCUGGCCCCCAGUCUUAAUCAGCGAUAGAAGAAUGGUCUCAGAGCUGUUUCUCCCGACUGGCCAUUGAAGUUUCGUAGUGAAGGAGUAGUCAAUGACUACAGUGCAUCGAUAAGGCUUCAGAAGGAACACAGAGUGUUUCGUGGGUCAUUUGUUCACGUAUGGGGCCGUUUUAUUACUUUUUUAAAUCAGUACUUUCUAAUGAAAACAACCUGACCAAAAACCUGUCAGAAUUUUGAGACCCAUUAAAACAAAGUUUAAUGAGGGAAAAAACCCUCUCAAAUCUCUUAGAUAUUUUAUAUCUGCUGCUGUUUCAGACACUAAUAGCCUGAUGUAGGAAGUAUAAAAUGUAAGCUCUUUCCAUUGUUAAUUACUAUUUUACAGCUGUGAAAAUUUCUCAAAAGCUCUAUCAACUCAGUCGCCAGAACACACUUCUGCUCUAUUCCAUGUUUUGUUCCCCCCCUUUUUUUAACCAAAAGAAGGAUACUUUCUGAAUUUUUUUUAAAUGAAGUACAGUUGACUUACAAUGUUGUGCUAACUUCUGCUGUGCAGCAAAGUGACUUAGUUAUCUAUCUAUACACACACACACGCACAUACAUUAGUUUCCAUCAUGGCUUAUCACAGGCUUCCCUGGGGACUCAGUGGUAAAGAAAUCUGCCUGCAAUGCAGGAGAUGCCGGUUUGACUCCUGGGUCAGGAAGAGCUCCUGGAGAAAGAAACAUCAAUCCCAAGCAGCACUCUUGCCUGGAAAAUCCUAGGGACAGAGGGGUCUUGCAGGUUACAGUCCAUGGGGUCGCAAAGAGUCGGACUUGACUUGCUGACUCAACAACCACCACCAAUGGCUUAUCACAGGAUAUUGAAUAUAGUUCCCACUGCUAUAAAGCAUGACCUUGUUUAUUUUCAUGCAUUCUAUAUACACUAGUUUGCAUUUUAUUCCAAAGUCUCAAUCUUUCCUUCCUCCACCGCCAGCCCCGUUGGCAAGCACCAGUAUGUUCUCUAAGCCCAUGAUUCUGUUUCUGCUUCAUGAAUAGGUUCAUUUAUGUCAUAUUUCAGGUUCCACAUAUAAAUGAUAUCGUAUUGUAUUUGUUUUCUCUUUCUGACUUACUUCAUUUAGGAUGAUAAUCUCUAGCUUCAUCCAUGGUGCUGCAAAUGGCAGGAUUUCAUUCUUUUUGAGGGCUGAGUAGUAUUCGAUUACACACACACCCACACCCACAUCUUCUUUACCCAUUCCUCUGUCAGUGGACAUGGAGGCUGUCUCCACGUCUUGGCGAUUGUAAAUGGCGCUGCUGUGAACAUAGGGGACCAUGAAUCCUUUUGAAUUUGAGCUCUGUCUGGAUGUACGCCCAGGGACAGCGGGAUCACAGGGCCAGUCUAUAUUUAGUUUUCAAAAGCAAGGGUUUUCUUUGUUUGGCUUCGCUUCGUUUCCGUGAACCUAGGGAUGCCGCAUCUUUAACCUUUUCCUCUUACCCUGUCUACACC